AGGUGCGAUCAUACCAGCACUAAUGCAUCGGAUCCCAUCAGAACACCGCUACUAAGCGUGCUUGGGCGAGAGUAGUACUAGAAUGGGUGACCUCCUGGGAAGUCCUCGUGUUGCACUUU
rnacentral:rRNA from 1 species